rnacentral:rRNA from 1 species
UACGUAGGGUGCGAGCGUUGUCCGGAAUUACUGGGCGUAAAGAGCUCGUAGGUGGUUUGUCGCGUUGUCCGUGAAAUCUCACAGCUCAACUGUGGGCGUGCGGGCGAUACGGGCAGACUGGAGUACUGCAGGGGAGACUGGAAUUCCUGGUGUAGCGGUGGAAUGCGCAGAUAUCAGGAGGAACACCGGUGGCGAAGGCGGGUCUCUGGGCAGUAACUGACGCUGAGGAGCGAAAGCGUGGGGAGCGAACAGG